rnacentral:rRNA from 1 species
GACGAACGCUGGCGGCGUGCUUAACACAUGCAAGUCGAACGGAAAGGCCCUGCUUUUGUGGGGUGCUCGAGUGGCGAACGGGUGAGUAACACGUGAGUAACCUGCCCUUGACUUUGGGAUAACUUCAGGAAACUGGGGCUAAUACCGGAUAGGAGCUCCUGCUGCAUGGUGGGGGUUGGAAAGUUUCGGCGGUUGGGGAUGGACUCGCGGCUUAUCAGCUUGUUGGUGGGGUAGUGGCUUACCAAGGCUUUGACGGGUAGCCGGCCUGAGAGGGUGACCGGCCACAGAGGGACGGAGAUACGGCCCAGACUCAUACGGGAGAAAGCAGUGGGGAAUAUUGCACAAUGGGCGGAAGCCGGAUGCAGCAACGCCGCGUGCGGGAUGACGGCCUUCGGGUUGUAAACCGCUUUCGCCUGUGACGAAGCGUGAGUGACGGUAAUGGGUAAAGAAGCACCGGCUAACUACGU